rnacentral:lncRNA from 1 species
CUACUGCUAGUACUGCACUUGUUCGAUCUGUUGCUUGUUGCUGUUGUUUUCUCCCCUUUUCUCUCUUGGAGUUCUGUCUCGAUUGCUUGGAUCCUGACAGGCACGGGCAGAGCAACGCAAGCGCGCUGCGGCGGGCGACCUCGUCGACGGCUUCCGCGAGGGCGGCGGCGAAGCUGCUGCGAGGGCAUCCUGGGUCCCCUUCUCGGCGAAGUGGUCCUCGAAGGGGACUAGCUCCUGCGACUCGAGGGCGGAGGGCGGAGGGCGGGUGGCGCCACGUCAGGGGCGGAGGAGACGACGUCGGUGCGGUGGCGCGGAGGCCGCACGCGGCGAGGCGGAGGCGGUGGCGGGUCCCCGGGAGGCGGCGACGGGUCCUCCUGUUCCCAUCAAAUUGGUAGGCGACGACGCGGGAUUCUUCGAUCCGCAAGGGGCCGGCGCUCGGCGACGGGCGCUCCUCGAUGGCGGAGCUCCGGCCAGGGCUGCCGCGGAUCGAAGAUGGGAACAGGAGGCAGCGGCCAUCAGGAUGGAGGGGGCACUGCAGAUGAGGAGGCGGCGGCGGAGGUAAAAAGGCUCGCGCGGUCAGAGAGGACAAGAUUUGAACUCAGGUCUAGCCCACUAGUUGAAUCACAGUCUAGUUUGUUGCACAUUUCUCGGAAUAAUUAUACUUGUUUCGUUUGAAACGUCAAGAGACAUUGGGUAAAUUGCUCGACGCCAAGACCAACGGCGCCAAGCUUGACGUCAAGAUCCACAACGUCAAGCCUCCGCCACGUCGGCAUCCGCGUCAGCAGUUGGACAUGGACCUUGGCGUCAGGAUGGCUGGCGUCGAGACGUGUAAGCUUGGCGCCAAGCUAAGGGUCCAGAUUUUGAAAUGGUUCCACCAGGAGCGUAUUUGCAAGAAUCCUUAAAAAAGGGCUAAAAAACAAAAAAGACAGGAUUCGAGAGGGUACGCGCGGGCGGGUAAAAAAU